UAGUCCACACCGUAAACGAUGAAUGCCAGUCGUCGGCAAGUAUACUUGUCGGUGACACACCUAACGGAUUAAGCAUUCCGCCUGGGGGAGUACGGUCGCAAGAUUAAAACUCAAAGGGAAUUGACGGGGGGCCCGCACAAGCGGUGGAGCAUGUGGUUUAAUUCGAUGAUACGCGAGGAACCUUACCAGGGCUUAAAUGUAGUAUGACCGGUCUAGAAAUAGACCUUCUCUUCGGAGCAGAUUACAAGGUGCUGCAUGGUUGUCGUCAGCUCGUGCCGUGAGAUGUUGGGUUAAGUCCCGCAACGAGCGCAACCCUUAUCUUUAGUUACGUUUUACGAAACUCUAAAGAGACUGCCGGUGAUAAACCGGAGGAAGGUGAGGAUGACGUCAAGUCAGCAUGCCCUUACACCCUGGGCUACACACGUGCUACAAUGGUCGGGACAAUGAGUUGCGAUCUCGCGAGAGUCAGCUAACCUCAAAAACCCGGCCUCAGUUCGGAUUGUAGGCUGCAACUCGCCUACA
rnacentral:rRNA from 1 species